GUGGGUUUUAGUAGUGGGUUUUAGUAGUGGGUUUACGUAGUAGUGGGUUUUAGUAGUGGGCUUUAGUAGUGGGUUUUAGUAGUGGGUUUUAGUUGUGGGUUUUAGUAGUGGGUUUUAGUGGGAGGUUUUAGUGGGAGGUUUUAGUAGUAGUGGGUUUUAGUAGUGGUGGGUUUUAGUAGUAGUGGGUUUUAGUAGUAGUGGGUUUUAGUAGUGGGUUUUAGUAGUGGGUUUUAGUAGUGUUUUUUAGUUGUGGGUUUUAGUAGCGGGUUUUAGUGGGAGGUUUUAGUAGUGGGUUUUAGUAGUGGGUUUUAGUGGGAGGUUUUAGUAGUAGUGGGUUUUAGUAGUUGUGGGUUUUAGUAGUGGGUUUUAGUAGUAGUGGGUUUUAGUAGUGGGUUUUAGUAGUGGGUUUUAGUAGUUUUGGGUUUUUGUAGUGGGUUUUAGUAGUAGUGGGUUUUAGUAUGGGUUUUAGUCGUGGGUUUUAGUAGUUUUGGGUUUUUGUAGUGGGUUUUAGUAGUAGUGGGUUUUAGUAGUGGGUUUUAGUAGUAGUGGGUUUUAGUAGUGGGUUUUAGUAGUGGGUUUACGUAGUAGUGGGUUUUAGUAGUGGGUUUUAGUAGUAGUGGGUUUUAGUAGAGGGGUUUUGUAGUGGGUUUUAGUAGUAGUACUUCAGCUCCACGCCAGCUGUGCUCUCAGGAUGGGUAUCAGCUCAUUGUCUAUGUCAUCAGAGGUCAGUGCAUACUGCUCAGUACAUCACUGGGGCCAAGUGUCCUGUCAUCCAGGACCUUUAUACCAGGCGGUGUCCAGUCACCCUAGUCACAGACUUUUCUCUCUGCAACCGCACGGUAAGCGGUACCAGAGCGCCAAUUCUGGGUCCAAAAGGAUUCUUAUCAGCUUCUACCCAGAAGCCAUAAGACUCAUGAACUGCUAAUAAA
ensembl:lncRNA